CCUACGGGAGGCAGCAGUGGGGAAUAUUGGGCAAUGGACGCAAGUCUGACGCAGCAACGCCGCGUGAAGGAAGAAGGCUUUCGGGUUGUAAACUUCUAUUAAGGGGGAAGAGCAGAAGACGGUACCCCUUGAAUAAGCCCCGGCUAACUACGUGCCAGAAGCCGCGGUAAUACGUAGGUGGCAAGCGUUGUCCGGAUUGACUGGGGGUAAAGGGCGUGCAGCCGGAGAGACAAGUCAGAUGUGAAAUCCACGGGCUCAACCCGUGAACUGCAUUUGAAACUGUUUCCCUUGAGUGUCGGAGGGGUAAGCGGAAUUCCUGGUGUAGCGGUGAAAUGCGUAGAUAUAAGGAGGAACACCAGUGGCGAAGGCGGAUUGCUGGACGGUAACUGACGGUGAGGCGCGAAAGCGUGGGGAGCAAACAGGAUUAGAUACCCCAGUAGUC
rnacentral:rRNA from 1 species